AGUAGAACGCUGAAGACUGGUGCUUGCACUAGUCAGAUGAGUUGCGAACGGGUGAGUAACGCGUAGGUAACCUACCUCAUAGCGGGGGAUAACUAUUGGAAACGAUAGCUAAUACCGCAUGACAAUUAAGUACUCAUGUACUAAAUUUAAAAGGAGCAAUUGCUUCACUAUGAGAUGGACCUGCGUUGUAUUAGCUAGUUGGUGAGGUAACGGCUCACCAAGGCCACGAUACAUAGCCGACCUGAGAGGGUGAUCGGCCACACUGGGACUGAGACACGGCCCAGACUCCUACGGGAGGCAGCAGUAGGGAAUCUUCGGCAAUGGGGGCAACCCUGACCGAGCAACGCCGCGUGAGUGAAGAAGGUUUUCGGAUCGUAAAGCUCUGUUGUUAGAGAAGAACGGUAAUGGGAGUGGAAAAUCCAUUACGUGACGGUAACUAACCAGAAAGGGACGGCUAACUACGUGCCAGCAGCCGCGGUAAUACGUAGGUCUCGAGCGUUGUCCGGAUUUAUUGGGCGUAAAGCGAGCGCAGGCGGUUAUUUAAGUCUGAAGUUAAAGGCCGUGGCUCAACCAUGGUUCGCUUUGGAAACUGGAUAACUUGAGUGCAGAAGGGGAGAGUGGAAUUCCAUGUGUAGCGGUGAAAUGCGUAGAUAUAUGGAGGAACACCGGUGGCGAAAGCGGCUCUCUGGUCUGUAACUGACGCUGAGGCUCGAAAGCGUGGGGAGCAAACAGGAUUAGAUACCCUGGUAGUCCACGCCGUAACGAUGAGUGCUAGGUGUUAGGCCCUUUCCGGGGCUUA
rnacentral:rRNA from 1 species